CCCUUAGAUGUUCUGGGCCGCACGCGUGCUACACUGAGUGGAUCAGCGGGUCAGGUUGCGCGAAAGCGUUUCCUAAUCUUUAAAUCCGCUCGUGAUGGGGAUUGACGGUUGCAAUUUUCUGUCAUGAACGAGGAAUACCUUGUAAGCGCGGGUCAUCAUCCCGCGCUGAAUACGUCCCUGCCCUUUGUACACACCGCCCGUCGCUCCUACCGAUUGAAUGAUCCGGUGAAUAAUUCGGACUGCAGCAGUGUUCAGUUCCUGAACGUUGCAGCGGAAAGUUUAGUGAACCUUAUCACUUAGAGGAAGGAGAAGUCGUAACA
rnacentral:rRNA from 1 species